rnacentral:rRNA from 1 species
GUGUCAGCCGCCGCGGUAAUACGGGGGGAGCAAGCGUUGUUCGGAUUUACUGGGCGUAAAGGGCGCGUAGGCGGCCAGCACAAGUCGGUUGUGAAAUCUCCGGGCUUAACUCGGAAAGGUCAACCGAUACUGUGCGGCUAGAGUGCGGAAGGGGCAACUGGAAUUCUCGGUGUAGCGGUGAAAUGCGUAGAUAUCGAGAGGAACACCUGCGGCGAAGGCGGGUUGCUGGGCCGACACUGACGCUGAUGCGCGAAAGCCAGGGGAGCGAACGGGAUUAGAAACCCCCGUAGUCC